UUCGAUUAAGCCAUGCGAGUCGUGAGUCUUAGGGACUCGGCGUACCGCUCAGUAACACGUGGGUAACCUGCCCUAUGCUGGGGAAUAACCUCGGGAAACUGAGAAUAAUGCCCCAUAGUUCACCACGCCUGGAACGGUGGGUGGAUGAAAGCUCCGGCGGCAUAGGAUGGGCCUGCGGCGUAUCAGGUCGUAGGGGGUGUAAAGUACCCUCUAGCCAUCGACGCGUACGGGUGUUGGGAGACAUUGCCCGGAGAUGGAUUCUGAGACACGAAUCCAGACCCCACGGGGUGCAGCAGGCGCGAAAACUUGGCAAUGCGAGCAAUCGUGACCAGGGAACUCCAAGUGCAUCGGGUAAGACCGAUGCUUUUCUUGACUCUUCAACGGUCUUGGAAUAAGGGGUGGGUAAGGACGGCGCCAGCCGCCGCGGUAAUACCGGCGCCUCAAGUGGUAGUCGCUUUUWUUGGGCCUAAAACGUCCGUAGCCGGUUUGGUACAUUCGUGGGUAAAUCAAGGCGCUCAACGUCUUGAAUUCUGCGAGCACGGCAGACUUGGGACCGGGUGAGGUGUGGGGGUACUCUCAGGGUAGGGGUAAAAUCCGUCAUCCUGAGAGGACCACCUGUUGCGAAGGCGCCACACUAGAACGGAUCGACGGUCAGGGACGAAGCCUAGGGGCACGAACCGGAUUAGAUACCCGGGUAGUCCUAGGUGUAAACGCUGUGGACUUGAUGUUGGGAGUGCUCCGAGCACCCUCAGUGUCGAAGCGAAGGUGAUAAGUCCACUUCUUGGGGAGUACGGUCGCAAGGCUGAAACUUAAAGGAAUUGGCGGGGGAGCACUCAACUGAGGAUUUGCG
rnacentral:rRNA from 1 species